UAUAUAUUAACUUAAUUACCUGUUUCUAAUGUGCAAUCUGCUGGAUUUUAUUGGCAGGGUAUAUCACAACUUUUAAUGAGCCACAUCUUGCACCAGGCCACACUUUGAAAAAGAAAGAAGAGAGAGCUGGAUGGCUGGAUGAAAUUUCAAAUUUCCAUUUGCAAAUCAGCAGUUUCUAAGCAUAGAGAAAAACGUAAAAUACAACAGUUGAAAAGGAUACAAAGAAACAUAGAAUAUACAAUGUUGGUGGAAGAGAAGAUUGGCACAACCACUCUGGAGAAGGUAUA
rnacentral:lncRNA from 1 species